rnacentral:rRNA from 1 species
GACGAACGCUGGCGGCGUGCUUAACACAUGCAAGUCGAGCGGUAAGGCCCUUUCGGGGGGUACACGAGCGGCGAACGGGUUAGUAACACGUGGGUGACCUGCCCUCAGCUCUGGGAUAAGCCUGGGAAACUGGGUCUAAUACCGGAUAUGACUUCGCAUCGCAUGGUGUGGGGUGGAAAGUUUUUCGGCUGGGGAUGGGCCCGGCGGCCUAUCAGCUUGUUGGUGGGGUGAUGGCCUACCAAGGCGACGACGGGUAGCCGGCCUGAGAGGGCGACCGGCCACACUGGGACUGAGACACGGCCCAGACUCCUACGGGAGGCAGCAGUGGGGAAGUAUUGCGCAAUGGGCGGAAGCCUGACGCAGCGACGCCGC